rnacentral:lncRNA from 1 species
CUCCUCCUCUUCUUCUUCUUCCUUUCCUUUUUCCUCUUCUUCUUCUCCUCCUCUCCUCUUUUUCUCUUCUUCUUCUUCUUUCGUCAAACUAAACUAAACCUAAAACUAAACCUAAAUCUAAAACUAAAACUAAAUCUAAACUAAACAUAAACCUAAAACUAAUAAAACAGAAAAAAGGAAAAAAAUUAAAUCUAAACCUAAAACUAAAACUAAAUCUAAACUAAACAUAAACCUAAAACUAAAAAAACAGAAGAAAAAAAAGGAAAAAGGAAAAAAAGAGGAGGUAGAGCUCACCUGGGGCAGGG